UUACGGCAAUAUCACGUUGAAACACCGGUUCCCGUAAGAUCAACGAAGUUAAGCAAUGUCAAGCCUGCUCCGUAUCUAGAUGAGUGACCAUUUGGGUGACCAAGUGCUGUAA